CCUAUCCAUCAGCACACCAAAGUCCCUUUCUGUCAGGCAGCUUUCCAGUCACUCCUUCCCAAGCCUGUAGGGUUGCCUGGGGUUGUUGUGACCAAAGUGCAGGACCCGACACUUGGCCCUACUGAAACUCAUACUGUGUACUUUGGCCCAUCGAUGCAGUCUUUCCAGGUCCCUCUGUAGUGCCUUUCUACCCUCUGGCAGAUCAACACUCCCUCCCAACUUGGUGUCGUCUGCAAACUUACUGAGAGUGCACUCAAUCCCUUCAUCAAAUCAAGAUCCAUCCUCUUCCCAAAAGGAUGGGGUUAGUGUGGUAACAACCACUCAAAUUAGGGGAAUACAGCUCUCAGACUACUUAAGAAAUCUUACUCUAGUUCUGACAUUAGGCUGGUCAUCACUGAAACUUCAGCCUCAGCAGAUUAAGCUUGGCCUUAGCUAGACAGGGUGCUAUGAGCUGUACUUUUCUCUAAAAGAAGAUUGCAUGAUUGUCUAGGACAUAUGGCAGUUUUUUUAGGCACCAGCACCUGGGAGACAGUGCAUGUUCUAAUUUGAUAUUUGGUGUAGGUAAUGCCUUCUGGCUGGCCAACUGAACUGUAUGGUUUACCAUGCAGAGAGUAGCUUCAGACUACCUUCCAGUGGCCAAACACAUCAAGAUCAGGUAAUAUGGAAUGGGACACAAAGGAGGCUAGUAGUUCAGGGGACGAUUGUGUGGAUCUGCCACUCAUAGGGAAUAGGAGUGGGCAGUUGAGAGGCAAUUAUGUGGAACUGAAGGGAUGCAGAAGUGGAAAUCGGGUCAAAUGAGAGGAGUACUGGGAAGAAUACACAGAUCCCAGAGGAAGAGGUGCAAAGGGGUUGAUCAGACACAGGAUGGCAGGAGAUGGGAGCAUGAACCUGGGUGCUGAAAUCCCUAAUGACCUGCUUGUUCAUCUGAUUUGCACACUGCUGCCUUCGGCUUCAUUUGCAUGGCUUACAUACCAAAAGAUACGAUUUGCUGGGGAAAGUUAUUUAAUCUAUAAAAAAGCAAUUUAAGAAGCACACUAUCAAGAAGGUGCUUAGGGCAUGAAUAAUUAUAUGGCAUAUAGGAAUACAGUGCCUUAGAAUCAUAAAUAAGAGAAGUUUAGUAACAUUAUUUCAGUUUGUAAAGUUUUUACUAGAGAGCAUAUCAAUUUAACAAGUAACAUUUUCAUGUCUUAACCAUGGUAGUAGUCAGUAUGGUUUUUCUUCUGAACAAAGAGUGAACACAAACCAUAGAUAGUUUCAGACACUUCAGGUAGUGUAUUUUCCCCCCAUAACUCUUAAGAUAAAAUGCUAAAUUGCCUCAGCAGAGCCCUGUGUGAAAGUGGAUGAUUUUUUUUUUAUUUCCUUGCUUUCGCCUGAACGUGUAGUUUGACAGUGCUCUGUCUUGUUGUCUUGGGUUUGCUGGUCCUUGAGAGUGAAGCUUACAGUCCUAAAUUCACCAUCUGCACUGUGAAGGCAAAGAGUUCGGAGAGUUCUCAGUGUGCAUGGUGCAGGGUGGGAAAUGCUGCUGGUAUCCUCAGCACAUCCUCCUAGUACCAAAACCUACCCAUAGCCUACACGUGUGAUGCAUGCAUGCAGCCAUUGCUUUAUGGAGAUAUUUGGGAUAGAGGUGGUAUGCUCUGUCUUUUAAAAGAUACCUAAAGAAGGGUGCCAUUUACCUUGGUGUGCGUGUGUGGUUAUGCACUUGCCUAUGUGAACUGUAAGAUCCCCUGGCCAGGAAGUGGGAAGCAUGAGUUGUAAAUUCUCUUUUUAUUUGCUACCUUCUAGUUAAAUGUCCUCACCCUAGAUGCCAGGCUGGCUUAUACAGUGAUAAAACACUCUACAGAGUACUUCUGAAAUUAUAUAAUGUGAAGAACCAAAUACAGGAUGCUCUGCUUUCACUCUGUAUUCUUUUCUUUAAUUUUGCCUUUGAAGAGUGAAGUCUUUGGAGAUGAAAUUAUCUUCUUUAGCCAUUUAUCACAUGUAAGGAGGGACAUCAUCCCAGUUGAGAGCAUUUUACUCUGAAAAGGGCAGUUAAUAAUGCCAGUGUAUGAACUUAGCAAAAACCUGAAGUUAAAUGUGUAAGACUAUCCAGCUCACUAGUCUUAUAUAUACAUAAAUAAGCAUCAGAAGAGUGCCUUACUAAGUUGUGCAUGGUAGGUGGCUGCUCUUUUGAGAUCUGGAGAUAGAUCAGAAUUUGUUCAACCUAAUUUGUCAUGGAUUACACGGGUAGAAUUAACGUAAUAUUCAUGGGAAUGCUAACCUGGGUCUUGUAUUUUUUUUAGCAUAUCCCUAUAAAGUUUCUUGCUGUAAUAUGUUUAAGAUAAAUCUCUUUUAAAAAAUAUUAGAAAGGAUUGCAAGGUUUAAUUCUAAUUACUAAAUAUUCUUUGCCUUACAUGAUUGAAGUUUAAACAUUCAGUAAUCGUUUUUCCUUUGAGACAUGUCAGAAUUACUGCUGGCUCCAUUUAUUUCUCAUUGUAUGACUUCCAUGUGAACGAGGUCAUGCCACCAUUCACUUCACAUCUGAUUUUAAGGUCAGAUGAAGAGUUAAUCAGAACCUUGGUUACUGGUGGGCAAAUGUAUUAGUAAUUUUUCACAUUCUUCUGGUCUUACAUGAAGUGCCAUUACUAAAUGAAGAUAUGAUGAAUCAUAGUCAGUUGACAUUUGAUGUGGUCUGAUAGGAAUGCUGAGAACUGGCUGGAGUGUUGAACUGGUCUUGAUCUGGGACUGAGAUUUCUUUCUGAAUUUGGUAAACAGUCUGGGGCCGGCACCUGACUCCUAUUAGCAUUCCAUACCUGGAUUAAGACCUACAGUAAGCGGGUUGAGCAAGCUGUAUAUUUGCUACAGUUGAGUUUUUACAUAAACAAAACUCUAGAAAUUGCAUGAAAAGCCACUCUCUGUAGGAUGACAGUCACUGGCAUGGCAGGUUUGUGAGCUUUUAGGAUAGAGAGAUCACUGGCACAUUUGGACACCGUUAGACAGUUUACCAGGCACGCCAUGCUUGUGUAGAUGAUAAGGCUAUAACUAGUCAUCAAAUUAUUACUCCUAAAUCGUUAUUACUCCUUAAGCAACAAAUUAUUUUGAUGCAGCACAAGGAGUUAUGAGUAUUAGGGAAUGAAUGGAAUAAUUUUUUUUUCUUUCAUUUUCAGCAUCUCUGAGUUCUUUUAUGAGUCUGCCCUGUACUGCUUAGUGCACAGGCUUGCAUUAUGUCAGAUUUUGGAAUAUAGUAUCUUACCCUGCAGGAAAUGAGCAGCAUAGAAAAAGCUUACACCUAAAAUUUCAGGAAAAUUGAAGCUUACGGGAGAAAGCAAUGCUUUGCACCGUAGACAGAAAAAUAGUACAUUGAUAACUGACUGGAUACUGAGGUUUAGGUCCAGUUUCAUGCCCACCUCUUUUUUAAUGGAUAACAUAGCUAUAAAAAAAAACUGAAGUAGUUUGAAUGCUGUGCUGUAGCACAGACCAUGUUCACACCAUGCUGAUUAUGGUCUGUCUGCUUAGACAGUAAGCUGCUUAGGAUACUGACUUUUUCUUCAUACAGCGCCUACCAGUAUCAGGUCUUGAUCUCAGGGGAUUUUGUGUGGUAUAUUCCUUAAUGAUAUGUGAACAGCAGCACUACUUAGUAAAACUCAUUCCUUCCGUGACUCCAGAAAAUACUUUUUGCUGAUGUCUUCUAUAUAUAGAACUGUGAACUGUUUAAAAAUGAGCUCAGAAAUUGCCCUGUGUGGGUGUGGAGUGUCUCCAUUUAUUUUCUUUUGAAAUGUACCUGGUAGGUUUAUUUCUGGUGAUUUUUGUUUGUUUGUUUCUCUUUGUUUUCUUCUUCCCCACCCCCCCCCUCUGGCAGAAUCCUUUUCUUUUUCAUAGUGUAUACUCAUUUUAGAAAGUUAAUAUAACCUUUCAAACUUCUAACUUGUAAUUCAGUAGUUUAUUCUUGACUAUAUAUCAGAAGUUACAUAAAUGGUAAUAGUGGUAGGAUGCUAAAAGGGUAAUUAUCUACACUAUUUCAAAUGCUUUUUUUCUAAGUGCCUAAUUUAUUAGCAGCACUUCAAAGCAUUCUUUUUGAAAGAAAAAAUACAUCUGCUCAUGAAGACUUUCUCUAGUCAAAAAUGCCUAUCAAAUUUAGAUCUGGACAGUUAGGCAGUGAAUCAAAGAAAGCAAGUCCUGAUCCGAACACUUGGUGUAUUAGUAAAGUCAUGGGGGCUCGUGGUACAUAUUGUAAUCGAGAACUGAAUUUUAAUUAAAAGUUCUUGUAACCAAAAAUUUAUUUCUUGGAUAGACAGAACUUCUGUGAAAGUUAGCUGCUGCUGCUUUGUAUUCUAACACAACUUAUUCAUAUAAAAUCUUGAUUUUACUCUAGUAUGUUUUAAAUAAUUUAAAAUAAGGACUGUACACUUUAUUUAAAAUCUAUUGAUGUUCUUUUAGAUAUAAAAAAAUGAGGCAGAUGAAAUUAGUUUAUCUAUAUUUAGGCACCCUCUGUGUUUUCCCCUGUGGUGAAUGGGUCUCAUGUUGUGUAAGCUGUGUUUAAGCAAUCGCAGCUGCAUUGUUUAGCACCUCUGUGGAAUAAACACUUCUCUUCCUGUCCUGCCUUACAGUGGGCAUCUCAUCCCUGGACCGCAGGCCAGGAGCAUCUAGAGCUGGGAUGACAUCGGAAAUUUGGCUGAGUUAAAACCUCGUUCUCACUCUCCUUAUCUUUAGUGACAUUUUCAGCUCCUGGCCAAUUGAAGAGGAGUCACCUGGUUACAUUCAGCUGUUAAAUGGUUGUUUCUAGCUUUUAGAUCUCGUAGUAUUUUUUUUUUAUUUUGGAGAGUAGCAAAAAACUCUUGGAAACAAUAAUCACAAUAGAAUGUAUUUUUAAAUUCUUCUGGGGGUUAUUUAAGUCUUUCCAUCUGGCAGAUUAAAAAAUAAAUAAAAAUAAAUACACUGUUAGACCUAAUAGAUAAGCUUGAUACAUCAAGGAAGAGUUCAGAAAAAUUCAUGUGAAUGAAUUUAACAGAAAAAUUCAUGUGAAGCAGCAUUUGUGCCACUGUAGUGGUGCCUCUGAGGGGAAAGAGGUGCUAGUGCUGAAUGAACGAGUUGGCACACACUUCUCUGAAAGAGAAAAAACAUGCCUUUGUAGAUGUAAGGUGUGGAAAUUUGCAAUUAGCUGAAGUUACAAAGACAUAAGGAUUUUUUAGCCUUGUUGUGGGCAGACUAAUUCCUCAGGUUUGUUUUUUGUUUUGUUUUGUUUUCAUAGCAUGGAAAGCCAAAAUGUGAAGUUGUUUUUGUAUAUUUCAGUUUCUUCUUUUUUCUUCUUGCAAUAUGAUAACAACCUGAUACUCAGUAAAAGGAAAGUAAGCCAGGUUGUGAAGAGAAAUGCCCACUGCCUUAGAUCCACAUCCCAGAGAGUCCCCCAAGAUUUCAUGGUUUCUCGGAGCUUUAUGGGGCUUGGCAGCUUUUAGUUCCUUUUAGUGAGACUCACUGCAGUACGAAGCCAUCUGAGCACUGAGCAUUGUGCUUAGGUUUCAAGAGAUAGGGCUUCAAAUUCUAUGAAGUCUGUAAAAUAUGAAGAUAGUUUUUAGGAGUUCGAGGUGAUGAAACAGCAGCCAAUUAGUGACUGUGUAAACUGACUACGUGAAUGGUGUCUGGAGAGCAUUCCCACUGCUCUCCCUGCACCUGCAUUGCAGUAGUAUUCAGACAUAUAUUUCUUAAUUGCUUUCCUGUAAAAAUCCUCUUUAGGUCACUACUGAAAGCAGGAUUCCAGGUGUCCCAGGCAGUCAGUAAAAUUGAUUUGAUAGGUGUUUUACUCCUAGAUGAAUAUAAGUAGUGGAAAAAAAAUAGAAAAUGAAUGAUACAAAGAAAGAAAGAAACGACAAAAGAUGCUAACACGCCUAACUAAAGGUAGCACAUGACCAACAGAAUCUAGUUAAGAAAGUGUCCAGCUGUACAAGACAGAAGUGUUCCUUGUGAUGAGAGAUGAGCAAUGCGUGUUGGGUGUGCUGCUGAUUUGGAGAACAGUCAUUCUAUUUUUGGACUGUUGUGACCAACUAUCACACAAUACCUCCUCGGGAAGGCUAUUACAAUACUACCCAUUAUUUCAGCUAUACUUAAUAUUCUACCAGCAUUUGUGUGUUAAAUCUAUUUCUAAAGGCUACAGUGAGGUGAUAAAUGUUCAUUCAACAACAAAGACAGCUGCAAUUAACAAUUUAAAAAUUUUUGAAAGAGAAGCAGAAGUUCAUGAAAGCAGUAGUGGAUUCUGGCACUUUUGUACGGGAAUUCAAAAAAUAUGUAAGUACCGCAGGGAUGGGGCAUGCCUCUAAUGUGAGUUUGUACAGAGCACAUAGCAACAUCUCUGUCUACCUUCUUCUGUAAGAGAGCUGCAGAGGUGCCUUUAAGACCCAAAAGCUCUGAUUAUCCAAAAUCUCUAAGCCAUUAGAAAUUCCAUCUGGAGUGCCAUGAGUGAUCUCUGAGGACCAGUCAGUGCUCUUCAGUGUAACAAGUAGGCUGUUUAAAUGACCAAAUUUGCUUGGAAGACCCUGAUUUCUGUGAGGCUGUACAGGCUGGUGCCACCAGCUCCCUCUCUCCCACCCCUUUACAUUCUCUGGUUGGUCUUCUUCAAGACCUUAUUUGGCACAGGCAGCCCUAUGUCAACUGGUUCCAGAGGACACCUGUGUCUCUCCUUCAUAUGGCAACAGUACACAUGGCAUCAUAACUUUGCCAAAGCCUAACUAUGUAAUGAACUCAUUGCCUAGGAGUGUUCCAGCAGAUUGGUCACCAGUACAAUAUUAUAGGCAGAAAAGCUGAAGAGACCUAUACUAUGUAGGUAUAGCUGCCCUUGCUCCCGAAUGAAACUUCUACUUUGAGUAAAAAAGUUUUAUAGACUUCGACUAUUUUUGGCAUUCAGUUCAUUCCUAUGUGCCAGGUUGUCUGUUGGGUGGAGAAGGACAACACUUAGUUUUCCAGAGAAACAUCUUGUAUGUCCACAUAGGUUCCAGCCUUCUCUGAUCUCUGUUAAACUUGCACUGCACUGGGACAUUCACUAGUCAAGAUCAUGCCACCAGUGUGUGAGACCAAGCUCUUUCAAAGGACAGUGUCAGGUCUUUCUUGGCAUGGUCCCCAUCCUGUAGCAGGCAGCACUUAUCCCUGAAACACUCCAGCAUGUGCUCUUUGCAUUGGGACAGCCAGUCCUCCUCUUCCUCCUUCUGCCAGCAGGCCCCAGCUCAGAGACAGACAACACUAUUCGUCCUCAGGCCGUCACCAUUUCAGACCUGGCUAUGAGCCCUCUGACUGAAUUGCACACAUCUGCCAACUGAUGUGAAGGAGGGCAUGUUCCAGGCACACAGCCCAGAUCUUGGAGAAGAAAGUUCUUCCUUCCUCCUUCUGGACAGCAAGCAGGAUUUGGACACUGAGUCAUCAGACAAAAUGGCUUGGAGUGAAUGGAUAUUCCUGUGUCCCGCUACCAGUCCAGCAGAAGUUGUGGCUGCAGAGAGCAUACCAACUGUGUACAGAUCUCCUGGUUCCAGCAGUCCCGUACAAGGGCCACUAGGCCAUAACAAAGCUCACCAAGAGACAUGAUGAGCAGGAAGCAUAGCUGCAGCAGAACUGUGUCAAGCAGAGGUUUGGUACAUCUGAGAGCACCUGAGGUAGAAGAACCAUGUGGCAUAUGAGGAGUUCUGUGCGCUUUUGACUCCAGUCACUAAAGCGUGACUGCCAUAUUCCUGGGAAACUCUAUAACCCCCUAUCACAUGGAGACAGCCAGUCAUCCCACAUCAUUUCCAAUCACAACAAGUACUUACAGCACCUGAUAUGCUGGGUAGCUUUGUGAGCUUUUGUAUUCUUAAGCCUAGGAAUUCUACUCAGAAGGCUGCAUCAAUGGGCAAUGUAGCUAUAGAAGGAGUGUCUUCAGACUUGUUGAAACCAGUAGUGGGAUGGCCAUGGCUCUUGGUGGGACUGAAGGUCACAGUAUUCUCUCUUUUGUUUAUGUUUUAUUUUUGUUGUAUUUGACCUUGGCAUUUGCAGGAUGAGACGCCUGGUCGCAGUCUGAUAAUUCUAAUUAAGAUUGAAUACUUUGUAAUGUAAUGAGUAAGCGGGCAGAGAAGACCAGAAAUCUUCAUAUUCUGCUUAGUACAUUUCAGCAGACAUAUGCCCGUGCUAUAUAGAUAUUCUUUAUUAGGUUGUCCUUGAGAACAUACAAUAAUAAUCAGCCAGAGCAAUAGAGCGCAAGGAAGGCGCCUUUGGUGCAUGUAAUUUGUUUGAACUUGAGGCCUUGCUCCCUAAGAAUGUCCAGUUUCCCAAUUUCGUGUGACAGCACUAUCUUGACCUGAUGUGGUUCCACUAAAUAAGGGUACAUUGCAUGAAAAUUUGUGUAUGGGGCAAUUCUACUCGUGGACUCUGAGAAUCUGCUGAAUUCAACAAGAACAGCUGUCCUCUAUUUAAAUGUGUUUUCUUUUUGCUUGUCAGUGUCCCAUUGUGGUAGGUAAUCCACAGUGUUAAAUAUUCGUUGUCUGUCAGGUCUAUGCCUUGCCAGUAUCUUUUCUAUAUAAGGUAAUACAGUUGCCUUGCACUUGUCAAACCGGAAAACAAAUGUGGUAAUGAAUAAAAUAAUUUUUGCACUGUA